UACGUAGGGCGCGAGCGUUAAUCGGAAUUACUGGGCGUAAAGCGUGCGCAGGCGGUGAUGUAAGACCGAUGUGAAAUCCCCGGGCUUAACCUGGGAACUGCAUUGGUGACUGCAUUGCUGGAGUAUGGCAGAGGGGGGUGGAAUUCCACGUGUAGCAGUGAAAUGCGUAGAGAUGUGGAGGAACACCGAUGGCGAAGGCAGCCCCCUGGGCCAAUACUGACGCUCAUGCACGAAAGCGUGGGGAGCAAACAGG
rnacentral:rRNA from 1 species